rnacentral:rRNA from 1 species
AUUGAACGCUGGCGGCAGGCCUAACACAUGUAAGUCGAGCGGAUGACGGGAGCUUGCUCCUUGAUUCAGCGGCGGACGGGUGAGUAAUACCUAGGAAUCUGCCUGAUAGUGGGGGACAACGUUUCGAAAGGAACGCUAAUACCGCAUACGUCCUACGGGAGAAAGCAGGGGACCUUCGGGCCUCGCGCUAUCAGAUGAGCCUAGGUCGGAUUAGCUAGUUGGUGAGGUAAUGGCUCACCAAGGCGACGAUCCGUAACUGGUCUGAGAGGAUGAUCAGUCACACUGGAACUGAGACACGGUCCAGACUCCUACGGGAGGCAGCAGUGGGGAAUAUUGGACAAUGGGCGAAAGCCUGAUCCAGCCAUGCCGCGUGUGUGAAGAAGGUCUUCGGAUUGUAAAGCAUUUUAAGUUGGGAGGAAGGGCAGUAAGCUAAUACCUUGCUGUUUUGACGUUACCGACAGAAUAAGCACCGGCUAACUCUGUGCCAGCAGCCGCCGCAGUAA